rnacentral:rRNA from 1 species
CGUGCCAGCAGCCGCGGUAACACCGGCGGCUCGAGUGGUAACCGUUAUUAUUGGGUCUAAAGGGUCUGUAGCCGGCCGGAUAAGUCUCUUGGGAAAUCUGGCAGCUUAACUGUCAGGCUUUCAGGAGAUACUGUCUGGCUCGAGGCCGGGAGAGGUGAGAGGUACUUCAGGGGUAGGGGUGAAAUCUUGUAAUCCUUGAAGGACCACCAGUGGCGAAGGCGUCUCACCAGAACGGACCUGACGGCAAGGGACGAAAGCUAGGGGCACGAACCGGAUUAGAUACCCGGGUAGUCCUAGCCGUAAACGAUACUCGCUAGGUGUCGGCCACGGUGCGACCGUUGUCGGUGCCGUAGGGAAGCCGUGAAGCGAGCCACCUGGGAAGUACGGCCGCAAGGCUGAAACUUAAAGGAAUUGGCGGGGGAGCACCACAACGGGUGGAGCUUGCGGUUUAAUUGGAUUCAACGCCGGAAAUCUUACCGGGACCGACAGCAAUAUGAAGGCCAGGCUGAAGACUUUGCCGGAUUAGCUGAGAGGUGGUGCAUGGCCGUCGUCAGUUCGUACUGUGAAGCAUCCUGUUAAGUCAGGCAACGAGCGAGACCCACGCCCACAGUUGCCAGCGUACUCUCCGGAGUGACGGGUACACUGUGGGGACCGCCGCUGCUAAAGCGGAGGAAGGAAUGGGCAACGGUAGGUCAGUAUGCCCCGAAUAUCCCGGGCUACACGCGAGCUACAAUGGUUGGUACAAUGGGUAUCUACCCCGAAAGGGGAUGGAAAUCUCCUAAAGCCAAUCUUAGUUCGGAUUGAGGGCUGCAACUCGCCCUCAUGAAGCUGGAAUCCGUAGUAAUCGCGUUUCAACAGAACGCGGUGAAUACGUCCCUGCUCCUUGUACACACCGCCCGUCA